ensembl:lncRNA
CCUUUUUUUCCCGGCUCGCCCCUCAGCCCUUCGGUUUCUUUUCGAUAAGUUACCGUCUUGGGGGGGGGGGCGGGGGGAUGUGUAAGAAGGGGAUCCUUUUUUUUGCACCGUCUUCUGCCUGUUUGUGGCGGCAGGAGCUUCGCUGACUUUCAUUUCGUGGUCGCGGUAAGGGGAUGCCCGAUGGCGUAAAUAUGCAGUCAGAUGGUUGAUGCAGGUUUAACACACACAGAGACACACACACACAUACAAACACCACUACCUCCCCCUUCACCCCACGGGACAGUUUAAGACCAGUGGCAUAAAACGGAAUGGCUUCUGAAAGCUCAGGUUAGCCUGUCCGGAUUGAUUGCUGGAAGCGAAAGGAACGCAACUCGAUGGCAAUAGACAUGAAUGGGCUUUUUUAAAAAAAGCAUUAUUAGAACUGCACUGCAGGCGAAAAGGAAGGCAAGUCAGGUGUAUAACUGAGCCGUGGGGUUUGCCGGUGGGAUCCAGCAAACCCAGAGGAAUGCCGCUAAGAAGGUGUGUGUGAUCGGCGGUGUGUGUGAUCGAGUGAGUUCCAGGUGGUGAAUCCCAUCACCCUGAUUUCAUCCUUCUCAUAACAACCCUGAGAGAGUGAGUGGUUCAAGAUCACUUAGUGGGCUUCAUGGCUAUGACAUAUACUGUAUAUGUGGAUGCAUUUAUCUCAAGAAGAAUAUAGAACAGAUGUCUCCAUGUAAAAUGAAAUUACAAAUAGGCCAUGGAUCUCAGCUUGAGGCCAAAGUAGAAAAAUCCUAAUCACUGAUUGCUGCAUAAUAAAGAUAUUAUUUUAGAGCACAGAAGUUGUAGAUGAUAUCUGCUGAUGUUUGCCACUACAUAUGAGGAACUGAAAAUUAGACCUGCUGUCCAAGAGUUUCAGUGCUUUCAGAUGAACACAAGCCUGCUAUCUUUAACACUGCAUGGAUUACAACAAAUACAGUAUUGCACUAAUCUGUAUAUUUUGAGAAAAUAAAUUGAUUCCCAGAGGAGUGAUUUUUUUAAAAAAAAACUCCAUGCUCAAUAUCUGGAAAUUGUUUAAUGUUUUUUCCCUUCCCAAGCAUAAUACCUUGCCGUACUGCACAGUACACAACCAACAAUGUCAAAAAGUGAGCAGGAAAGCAGAACACGGCACAAGGAAAAUAAUAUAACUCUUGUAAAAUGUGUUAACCACAAGCUCAAGAUGUUGCAUUCUGCAAAGAAUAGAGGGUCACUGCCUCACUGUACCAUCUUUCAUGCAGAAUAAUUAAAAAGGAGAAAAUGGAAUCAGACAGUCUGGAAAUGGCUUAAAAAUUCCAACUUAGAACAAUCACUACAAAUGAGCAAAACUCAGGGAUUCUUUGACAUUUUAUGUGGCACAUGUCUGAUAUUUACCAGAGUGAACACUGUAAACUUUGCCUUGUAAAGGAAGGCUGAGGAACCUGCAGUCCUCUAGUUGUUUCUGAAUUUUAGUUCUUAGUUAGUUUGACCAAGCAUGAAGUGUGAUGAGAGCAGCAGUUCAUCAGCUUUCAGAGAGCUGAAGUUUCCCCAAUGCUAGUGUAAAGUAUGAAGGGAGAAUAUGCACCCAUCUACAUAAAUAUGUCAUGGACAUUUUCCAGGAAUCUACAUCCAAGUAAGGGCCUUCAGGGCAGCUGCCUGCUAUGAGUCUUCGGUGACUUUUUCUCAUAAUGUAUUGUAACAAUAUUGAAUUCAGCACUAAUUGUAGAGUGAGCAAAAGCAGAUGGGGAAGCA